rnacentral:rRNA from 1 species
GAUGGCGACCGGCGCACGGGUGAGUAACACGUAUCCAACCUACCCUUUACUCGGGGAUAGCCUUUCGAAAGAAAGAUUAAUACCCGAUAGCAUAAUGAUUCCGCAUGGUUUCAUUAUUAAAGGAUUCCGGUAAAGGAUGGGGAUGCGUUCCAUUAGGUUGUUGGUGGGGUAACGGCUCACCAAGGCGACGAUCAGUAGCCGGCUUGAGAGAGUGAACGGCCACAUUGGGACUGAGACACGGCCCAAACUCCUACGGGAGGCAGCAUG